AUUGAACGCUGGCGGCAUGCCUAACACAUGCAAGUCGAACGAGUGGCGGACGGGUGAGUAAUGUCUGGGAAACUGCCUGAUGGAGGGGGAUAACUACUGGAAACGGUAGCUAAUACCGCAUACCAUCAGAUGUGCCCAGAUGGGAUUAGCUUGUGGGGGGGGUACCGGCUCACCAAGGCGACGAUCCCUAGCUGGUCUGAGAGGAUGACCAGCCACACGGGAACUGAGACAAGGUCCAGACGCAUACGGGAGGCAGCAGUGGGGAAUAUUGCACAAGGGGCGAAAGCCUGAGGCAGCCAUGCAGCGUGUAUGAAGAAGGCCGUCGGGUGGUAAAGUACUUUCAGCGGGGAGGCGUUACCCGCAGAAGAAGCACCGGCUAACUCCGUGCCAGCAGCCGCGGUAAUUC
rnacentral:rRNA from 1 species